rnacentral:rRNA from 1 species
GGUAGUCCACGCCGUAAACGAUGGGCACUAGGUGUGGGAGGUGUCGACUCCUCCCGCGCCGCAGCUAACGCAUUAAGUGCCCCGCCUGGGGAGUACGGCCGCAAGGCUAAAACUCAAAGGAAUUGACGGGGCCCGCACAAGCAGCGGAGCAUGUGGUUUAAUUCGACGCAACGCGAAGAACCUUACCUGGGCUUGACAUGUGAGUGACCGCCGUGGAAACACGGUUUCCCUUAGGGGGCACUUUCACAGGUGGUGCAUGGCUGUCGUCAGCUCGUGUCGUGAGAUGUUGGGUUAAG